CCUACGGGAGACAGCAGUGAGGAAUAUUGGUCAAUGGGCGGAAGCCUGAACCAGCCAAGUCGCGUGAGGGAUUAAGGCCCUGCGGGUCGUAAACCUCUUUUGCCGGGGAGCAGAGGUCCGGACGUGUCCGGGCCGGGAGAGUACCCGGUGAAAAAGCAUCGGCUAACUCCGUGCCAGCAGCCGCGGUAAUACGGAGGAUGCUAGCGUUAUCCGGAUUUAUUGGGUUUAAGGGGUGCGUAGGCGGGCAUUUAAGCCGGCGGUCAAAUGUCGGGGCUCAACCCCGGCCUGCCGUCGGAACUGGGUGCCUUGAGUGGGCGAGAAGUAAGCGGAAUGCGAGGUGGAGCGGUGAAAUGCAUAGAUAUCACGCAGAACCCCGAUUGCGAAGGCAGCAUACCGGCGCCCUACUGACGCUGAGGCACGAAAGUGCGGGUAUCGAACAGGAUUAGAUACCCCGGUAGUC
rnacentral:rRNA from 1 species